UAAACACCCCUAGGAGCCUCUGC
rnacentral:piRNA from 1 species